rnacentral:lncRNA from 1 species
GUUUGAGCACCCUUGCUUUGGAUAACUUAUGUAAUUUGGAUUAGAGAUCCAACAAUAGAUGGUGUAGGUAAACUGUAAACAUGAUUAACACAUCCACAGGAAUCUAGAAUAACAAAUCAUCUUAGAUAUCAAUUAUAUCUGCUGUUUAGCAUCAGAUUUAUAGGACCAGGAUUCUUCUAUAAAUUAGACUAGUAUGCAUUUUCAAUGACAAAAACUAGUUUGAUGUGGGCAGCAAUGCAGGUGUUGUAGAUAUUCUGUCAAUAUUGUGGGAACUUCAUAUAUCGGUGGUAAAUGACAACUUGUUGUCACUGUGAGAGAGAAGGAGAGGGAUUUUUUAUUUUUUUGGAAGAGCGGUGGUGCUACAAAUUGGUACAAAUUGUUGUGAAGUAAUAGAAGUUGGAACGAAUGGUAUAUACGCACACACCCCUGUCCUGUUGUGAUAACUUCAUUGCACAGUAUGCAUUGCAUGUAUAGUAUAGUAUGAAUGAGCAUUUUGGUCCUUAACACUGCCACUCUUCCCUUCUAAUUGCCUAAAAUGCAAACAAUACAACUU